GAUGAACGCUGGCGGCGUGCCUAAUACAUGCAAGUCGAGCGGACGGAGGAGAAGCUUUGUUCACUGAUGUUAGCGGCGGACGGGAGAGUAACACGCGGGUAAGCUACCUAUAAGACUGGGAUAACUUCGGGAAACCGGAGCUAAUACCGGAUGAGAUUUUGAACCGCAUGGUUCAAAAGUUAAAGACGGCCUUGCUGUCACUUGUAGAUGGAUCCGCGCUGCAUUAGCUAGUUGGUAAGGUAACGGCUUACCAAGGCAACGAUGCAUAGCCGAUCUGAGAGGGUGAUCGGCCACACUGGAACUGAGACACGGCCCAGACUCCUACGGGAGGCAGCAGUAGGGAAUCUUGCGCAAUGGGCGAAAGCCUGACCGAGCAACGCCGCGUGAAUGAUGAAGGUCUUCGGAUCGUAAACCUCUGUUAUUAGGAACGAACAUAUGUGUAAGUAAAUGUGCACAUCAUGACGGUACCUAAACAGAAAGCACCGGCUAACUACGUG
rnacentral:rRNA from 1 species